UGGGGACAAAAGCAAUCCUGCACCAGGGGGAGGACUCCGUGGAAAGGGAGGAAGUUAACAGGGGAGCAGGGAAUAGAGAAAAUUCUUCUUGCAUAAGGAAAGACAGACAGACAGAUAGACAUGGGCAAGGGAUAGGCAGUUUGCAGAGACACACACGGAAAGAAAGGGAGACAUGGAGCAGUUGAGUGUGUGAGGAGAGGUCAGAGGAGGGGUUUGGAGUUGUUUAGCUUCUUGAAACUUGAGCAGGUUGCAAAGUCAAUGUGAAGAAGCCAUCCCAUCCCAGAUUUUUAAGCCUUGAGGUUGCUCAUGUGUGCACUCACUCUGGGUACUUUUAUUUCCUCUGCAGAGUGAAUGAGAUGACUCCAGUGGGAUUUUGUGGGUUCUGAGCUGAUGCAGAUUCAGAUAUUUGUAAAAGAAAGGAUGGCUGAGAGUCACAGACUGCUAGGGACUCUUGGGUUUUUUUCAGCAGGCAGCAGGCGGCUGAAAUCCUGGUGUGAUGUGGCUGCACAAUGUGAGACCUGCAACCCAGCACCAGAGACUUCAGGAUAGGUCUAGAAGUUUCCUGUACACGUCUCAACCUACUGAGCACCGCAGGAGGAGCCACUGCCAGUGCAAUCAGGAAAAAAUUAACGCGAGCUUUUCCUGUCUCACAGCACAGCAUCUCCGGCCACCGUGACAGGUGCAGAUUUCUCCCCACCACAGCUGAUCAGCUCUGCAGAGGUUUCCCGGUGGGCAGCCAGGUGACCCUACUUCCAUUAAGCUCCACCACUGCCCACCGUGAGGCAGCUUCACAUCCACAGGUGAGGGCCUGUUCCCACUGCAGAUGCCAGCUUGUGACCUGGGCCAUAAGCAAAGUGGAAGUUCUCUUCUCCUUUCAGAGAAAGGUACCUCCUUCUUUGAUGGCCCCUUCUUUCCACUGGGAUCUCACUCACAGAGGUCCUUUAUAUAGGUCACUUUUUUGCCACAGUGUCUUGGCAUGGAAACAUGCUGAAAUGCUCUCAUGGGCUUUUUAGCCAGAUCUGAAUGCCUUAGGGCUGAUUCUGGACUAUUGUUUAGGGUGUUUGUCAUUCUGUGAGUCUGCUGUGUAGCCUGCUUCCCAUGUUGAAUCAUUCUCUCCUUUUUAAUUCUAUCUACUGUUAUUAGCAGACACUUGGUCUUAUUUAUGUGAUCCCUUUGACAAUUUUUUUUAAACUUUUAUUUAAUGAAUAUAAAUUUCCAAAGUACGACUUAUGGAUUACAAUGGCUUCCCCCCCAUACCGUCCCUCCCACCCACAACCCUCCCCUUUCCCACUCCCUCUCCCCUUCCAUUCACAUCAAGAUUCAUUUUCGAUUAUCUUAAUAUACAGAAGAUCAGCUUAGUAUACAUUAAGUAAGGAUUUCAACAGUUUGCUCCCACACAGAAACAUAAAGUGAAAAAUAAUAGAUGAUUUUUUUUAAAUGAUGAUGAAAUCAGAGCAGACCUAUUGUCAUGUUUAAUCCCAGUGAGAGUCAAGUCGGGAAUUGAUAAUUUCUUUUUUUUUUUUUACAGAGGAUCAGUUUAGUAUGCAUUAAGUAAAGAUUUCAACAGUUUGCACCCCCAUAGAAACACAAAGUGAAUUAUAUUGUUUGAGCACUCGUUAUAGCAUUAAAUCUCAAUGCACUGCACAUUAAGGACAGAGAUCCUACAUGAGGAGUAAGUGCACAGUGACUCCUGUUGUUGACUUUACAAAUUGACACUCCUGUCUAUGGCAUCAGUAAUCUCCCUAUGCUCCAGUCAUGAGUUUCCAAGGCUAUGGAGGCCCUCUGAGUUCUCCGACUCUUAUCUUGUUUAGACAAGGUCAUAGUCAAAGUGGAGGUUCUCUCCUCCCUUCAGAGAAAGGUACCUCCUUC
ensembl:lncRNA